GGAAUUUUCCGCAAUGGGCGAAAGCCUGACGGAGCAACGCCGCGUGAGGGAUGAAGGCCUCUGGGCUGUAAACCUCUUUUAUCAAGGAAGAAGAUCUGACGGUACUUGAUGAAUAAGCCACGGCUAAUUCCGUGCCAGCAGCCGCGGUAAUACGGGAGUGGCAAGCGUUAUCCGGAAUUAUUGGGCGUAAAGCGUCCGCAGGCGGCCUCGUAAGUCUGUCGUUAAAGCGUGGAGCUUAACUCCAUUUCGGCGAUGGAAACUGUGAGGCUUGAGUGUGGUAGGGGCAGAGGGAAUUCCCGGUGUAGCGGUGAAAUGCGUAGAUAUCGGGAAGAACACCAGUGGCGAAGGCGCUCUGCUGGGCCAUAACUGACGCUCAUGGACGAAAGCCAGGGGAGCGAAAGGGAUUAGAUACCCCAGUAGUC
rnacentral:rRNA from 1 species